CGAAGCUUUAACGUCCAAAACGAAAAUCCAAAAUUUUGGACUCCAUUAAAGACGGUACACCGCCAACGAAGAAGACAACCCCGAUCUGCCUUCUCGGACCACUUUUCUUGAUCGUUUUGAGGUCCUGAGCAUUGUGGAGAGCUUCCCCAAUCGAAAGGACGCUUCAAGAGCAGUCGGAGACAAAGUUACACUUUACCGGCGACGAAACCGACGAGAACUCCGGCGACACUCCGUUCAGGGGUUUCUGGAGGAUCUUGUUCUCAACAAGGAAAUUCGUUGAGGUGCUCGAGGUAGCAAGUGUGGUCUUAGCAACUGAGGUAAGGGUAAGGCUAAGCAGUGAGAAUGAAGAGCUCGAGGCGUGGACCGCAUGUUAGGGGGGCUGGCACAGUAUUUUGCUUUUAAUGUU